GAUUGAGAGUGCACGAAUGUGU
rnacentral:piRNA from 1 species